GACGAACGCUGGCGGCGUGCCUAAUACAUGCAAGUCGAACGCAUUUUCUUUCACCGUAGCUUGCUACACCGAAAGAAAAUGAGUGGCGAACGGGUGAGUAACACGUGGGUAACCUGCCCAUCAGCGGGGGAUAACACUUGGAAACAGGUGCUAAUACCGCAUAAUUCCAUUUACCGCAUGGUAGAUGGAUGAAAGGCGCUUUUGCGUCACUGAUGGAUGGACCCACGGUGCAUUAGCUAGUUGGUGGGGUAACGGCCUACCAAGGCUGCGAUGCAUAGCCGACCUGAGAGGGUGAUCGGCCACACUGGGACUGAGACACGGCCCAGACUCCUACGGGAGGCAGCAGUAGGGAAUCUUCGGCAAUGGACACAAGGCUGACCGAGCAACGCCGCGUGAGUGAAGAAGGGUUUCGGAUCGUAAAACUCUGUUGUUAGAGAAGAACAAGGAUGAGAGUGGAAAGUUCAUCCCUUGACGGUAGCUAACCAGAAAGCCACGGCUAACUACGUG
rnacentral:rRNA from 1 species